UACGUAGGUGGCAAGCGUUGUCCGGAAUUAUUGGGCGUAAAGAGCUCGUAGGCGGUUUGUCGCGUCUGCUGUGAAAACUCGGGGCUUAACUCCGGGCCUGCAGUGGGUACGGGCAGACUAGAGUGCGGUAGGGGAGACUGGAAUUCCUGGUGUAGCGGUGAAAUGCGCAGAUAUCAGGAGGAACACCGGUGGCGAAGGCGGCCUGCUGGGCAGUUGCUGACACUGAGGCGCGACAGCGUGGGGAGCAAACAGG
rnacentral:rRNA from 1 species